rnacentral:rRNA from 1 species
UUCUGGUUGAUCCUGCCGGACCUGACUGCUAUCGGAUUGAUACUAAGCCAUGCGAGUCUUUGCAGUAAUGCAAGGCAUACGGCUCAGUAACACGUAGUCAACUUACCCUAUGGACGAGGAUAAUCUCGGGAAACUGAGCAUAAUACUCGAUAGAUCAUAAUGCCUGGAAUGGUUUAUGGUUAAAAUGAUUCGUCGCCAUAGGAUGGGACUGCGGCCUAUCAGCUUGUUGGUGAGGUAAUGGCCCACCAAGGCGAUUACAGGUACGGGCUCUGAGAGGAGAAGCCCGGAGAUGGGUACUGAGACAAGGACCCAGGCCCUAUGGGGCGCAGCAGGCGAGAAAACUUUGCAAUGUGCGAAAGCACGACAAGGUUAAUCCGAGUGAUUUCUGCUAAAGAAAUCUUUUGCAAGUCAUAAAACCACUAGUGAAUAAGGGGUGGGCAAGUUCUGGUGUCAGCCGCCGCGGUAAAACCAGCACCUCAAGUGGUCAGGAGGAUUAUUGGGCCUAAAGCAUCCGUAGCCGGCUCUGUAAGUUUUCGGUUAAAUUCAUGUGCUCAACGCAUGAGCCGCCGAAAAUACUGCAUAGCUAGGGAGUGGGAGAGGUAGACGGUACUCGGUAGGAAGGGGUAAAAUCCUUUGAUCUAUCGAUGACCACCUGUGGCGAAGGCGGUCUA